rnacentral:rRNA from 1 species
GUAGGUGGCAAGCGUUGUCCGGAAUUAUUGGGCGUAAAGCGCGCGCAGGUGGUUCUUUAAGUCUGAUGUGAAAGCCCCCGGCUCAACCGGGGAGGGUCAUUGGAAACUGGGGAACUUGAGUGCAGGAGAGGAAAGUGGAAUUCCACGUGUAGCGGUGAAAUGCGUAGAUAUGUGGAGGAACACCAGUGGCGAAGGCGACUUUCUGGCCUGUAACUGACACUGAGGCGCGAAAGCGUGGGGAGCAAACAGGGAUUAGAUACCCUGGUAGUCCACGCCGUAAACGAUGAGUGCUAAGUGUUGGGGGGGUUACCCGGCCCCUCAGUGCUGCAGCUAACGCAUUAAGCACUCCGCCUGGGGAGUACGGUCGCAAGACUG